AUUGAACGCUGGCGGCAUGCCUUACACAUGCAAGUCGAACGGCAGCGGACCUUCGGGUGCCGGCGAGUGGCGAACGGGUGAGUAAUGUAUCGGAACGUACCUUUCAGUGGGGGAUAACGUAGCGAAAGUUACGCUAAUACCGCAUAUUCUGUGAGCAGGAAAGCAGGGGAUCGCAAGACCUUGCGCUGAUUGAGCGGCCGAUAUCAGAUUAGCUAGUUGGUGAGGUAAAGGGUCACCAAGGCGACGAUCUGUAGCGGGUCUGAGAGGAUGAUCCGCCACACUGGAACUGAGACACGGUCCAGACUCCUACGGGAGGCAGCAGUGGGGAAUUUUGGACAAUGGGGGCAACCCUGAUCCAGCCAUGCCGCGUGAGUGAAGAAGGCCUUCGGGUUGUAAAGCUCUUUCGUCCGGGAAGAAAUCGCAUCAGCUAAUACCUGGUGUGGAUGACGGUACCGGAAUAAGAAGCACCGGCUAACUACGUGCCAGCCGCCGCCGUAAGAC
rnacentral:rRNA from 1 species